GAAGCUCUAUAGAUUGAGUCUGGCGCAGUUGUUGGAUCGUCGCGUCGCGGUGCAACUGGUUGGUGGUGGUACGUACGCUACGGGAGUAGAACGGAAAAUAAUGAGCGUGGCUAUGAGCUCAUCGCCUGUAGAGGAUGAAAGACGAGGUGAUAAUAUUAAAAAGGCGAGAUAUUCAUGGUACGUUACUUUGGAGAGCGAAUCUCCGACACCCACCGAUGAAGACGAGGAGUCCGUUUAUACUGUACAAGGCAAUGAGACAGAAUUUGCACGUGACACUUCGGACACAUCGACAACCCACACUUGGAUCAGCAGUAACGAAAGCGACGCCUCCGUUAAUAUAGAAUACGAAUUAGAUUCGCAGCCGGAAAAUGAAAAUCCAUUCACAGCAAUAUCUUCAUCGUCGGAGCCUGAGAAUAAUUUGGCAGUCGAAUUUAUAACAUUCUGUGACUCUGAUGGUUUAGCCGAUGGUAGCGACGACUCAACAAGUUCCAUUGACAGUGAAAUUAAGAAAGUAGAUUUUUGGACUUGCGUAUUAUGCAAAAAUCCAAAUAACAAUCCUAUGUUUCGUUACUGUGAAAAGUGUUAUCAGCUGAGGAAGACGAAUUUUAUGGGCAACCGUCCGAGACGGAAACGUCGAGCGCAGAAGGACCAGGGCAAGACGCUCCGGACGACGGUUGAUGCCGCUUUGGCCCAGGAGCUCUGCGACAUGGACUCGGGCAUAGCGUCUAGUCAGGAUUUGGAGAGGGCGCCAUCUGACUUCCGCGGCGGCAAGCCGACGUCUUUCGAGCCGCAGAGCCGCGACCUCACCACCAUGAUAUUCGGGGCGAAUCGCCGGGGAAUAAAGACCGAGUCGACGGCUCCGACGUUAUCAGCCGUCGUCAUGGCCCAGCCGAUGGACAGAGACGAGGUCGACUCGAUAUUGCCCCCCAAGCAGUACAGUAUCCCCGGGCAUCAUCCUUACCCCUCGGACUCACAGGACGUCAACGGACUGAAUUUCACCAAAGAUAGAGCCGAGGAUAGCGAGGCGAACAUGAGCGUCCGAAUCGAGAAUUCGCAGUCGCCCCUGAACAUUCUCUCGAAGAAGCUGCAAUUGCGUAAGGAGGAGGGCGCCGACGUCGUGGAUUCGAGCGAGCAGCAGGCGCAGGGAUUGGAGGGUCUCUGCCUCAUCUGCACCGUGAGGCCGAAGAACGGCGCCUUCGUUCACGGCAAGAUAACUCACAUAUGCUGCUGCUAUCCCUGCGCCAUGAAGGUCUGGAUGACCAAUGGUGUGAUAUAGACAUGCAUGAUUAGAAAGAAAAAAGCAAGAGUAAGCUUGCGUCGAGGAGCGACGAUAGUCUAGGAAGUCACCGAUGAUGGCCCAUUAAGAUGACAAAUUAGAGCGACGUGGGACGACUUUACCGAUGGACUAGCUAUAUUAUGUCGAUGACGACUAGUCAUAUUUAUAAAUGUUUUAUAGCAAAUUUUCAUUCGUACAAUAUUUCUCAAGAAUGAACACUUCGUCGACGAAGAUCACCUAGUUGAAAGUUGCUUACUACACGCACGCGAAAUUCUCAUGGAGUUUCCUUAGCAGGAGUGAGCCUAAGCUACUAAUGAAUCUUGGAUAUAGGCUCUGACAUCUCCACUUCAUGACCCUUUCUGAGAAAAAUUUCCAUAGCACUUUGAAGGAGACAGCAAGGAUGCAGUGUACCGAAGACGUAGUAGCAAGAAAAUGUGCUGGAUUCAAGUCUACGCAGUUCACGUGCGACCUCAUUGUCGGAGACGGGAUGACACUGCCGCCAUUGUU